CCGCCGCCGCCGCCGGAGCCGUCCUUCCUGCCACCGCCCUCUUCAAUCGCGAGCAACCCUGCCCCGUGUCUCUUCCACCGGUCGCCGCCGUUCCUCCACCACUACUCGUACCGUCGUACGCCGGCCGCCUCCCGCCGCGACGACCCUGCCCGGCCCCGCGGCUGCUCCAUUGACAGCCGGUCUUCCUUCUCCUCCGCCCUCACUCCUCUCCGCCGACCACCGCCCGCUCCUCUUCACUCCACCGACCAUCCAGGACCUCCNNN
rnacentral:lncRNA from 1 species